rnacentral:rRNA from 1 species
UACGUAGGGGGCAAGCGUUGUCCGGAUUUAUUGGGCGUAAAGAGCGUGUAGGCGGCCAGAUAGGUCCGUUGUGAAAACUCGAGGCUCAACCUCGAGACGCCGAUGGAAACCAUCUGGCUAGAGUCCGGAAGAGGAGAGUGGAAUUCCUGGUGUAGCGGUGAAAUGCGCAGAUAUCGGGAAGAACACCCGUGGCUAAGGCGGCUCUCUAGUACGGUACUGACGCUGAGACGCGAAAGCGUGGGGAGCGAACAGG